CCUACGGGAGGCAGCAGUGGGGAAUUUUCUGCAAUGGGCGAAAACCUGACGGAGCAAUCCCGAGUGGACGUGGAAGGCCCACGGGUCGUCAAGUUCUUUUCUCGGAGAAGAAACAAUGACGGUAUCUGAGGAAUAAGCAUCGGCUAACUCUGUGCCAGCAGCCGCGGUAAU
rnacentral:rRNA from 1 species